ACUAAAUAGAUACCCGGGUAGUCCACGCCCUAAACGAUGUCUACUAGUUGUUGGUGGAGUAAAAUCCAUGAGUAAACGCAGCUAAACGCGUGAAGUAGACCGCCUGGGGAGUACGGUCGCAAGAUUAAAACUCAAAGGAAUUGACGGGGGCCCGGCACAAGCGGUGGAUUAUGUGGAUUAAUUCGAUGCAACGCGAAAAACCUUAACCUGGCCUUGACAUGCCACUAACGAAGCAGAGAUGCAUUAGGUGCCCGUAAGGGAAAGUGGACACAGGUGCUGCAUGGCUGUCGUCAGCUCGUGUCGUGAGAUGUUGGGUUAAGUCCCGCAACGAGCGCAACCCUUGCCAUUAAUUGCCAUCAUUUAGUUGGGUCACUUAAUGGGACUGCCGGUGACAAACCGGUAGGAAGGUGGGGUAUGACGUCAAGUCCUCAUGGCCCGUUACU
rnacentral:rRNA from 1 species